UGAAUUAAAUACCUACUUUGAGCUAAAGCGGAUUACGCAGCCUCGGUUUCAACUUAUAAAUAGUCAUUUUUCAAAUGAGUGAAAAAAGUAUUAAUUUACAAACUCUACAGAAAAAUUUUAAACUAAAAGAAAAUUACGAGAAAGCUACAUAGAAAAAAUGCGUGACUCCUACUAAUUUUUCUUUUCCAUGACAAAGCGGAAAAAUUCAACAAACUUUGCUGGCAUGUUUUUAUCUUUCAGCUGUGAAGACGGCAGUCAUGCCAAAAAUGGUUGCAAAUGUUUGAAAAAGGAUUGCUAUUUGCCAAUUAACACAGAUUUUUUUAAAGCAAAAAAUAAAAACAAAACAGUUGUAGUUACUCUGCUUAGUAAGCAUACACAAACAAAAUAAGUAUAUUAAAACAAAAAAAAACACAAAUUAAUCACACUAAAUGUUUUUAUUAAUGUACUGGCAUACUCAAGCAACACAAUUCCCCUACCUCCUUCUCUCCCUCUCUCCGUCUAUCUUACUACUCAACCACUCUCGCAGAAAAACACGUUGCGAAUGCAUAGAAUUCCAUUGAAUGUUUCUUCACCGUUAUGCGAUUAGUUAUUUGUCUGCCUUAAAUAUGAGAGACAGACACGGACGGCAGCCGUACACAUGAGCGAAAUUCACAACUAAACAUCAUCAAGACCAGUUGAUGCAGUCGCGUCAAAUAUUAAUUCACACGUAACUAAUUGAAUUAAUAGAAAAGGAAAAGAAAAUUAAAUGAGUAGAAAAAUCACGCUAUCUACAUACACACACAUAUAUACAUUUACCUUUUGCUUAUGAGGGUAAAGGAAAGUAACUGCUACAGGCAGUGCGGCAACCAUCAACAAACACGAAACUUUUAUUAAAUAAAUUAGUCGUAAAGGAAACAUUAAAUUCGCAAUAAUAAUAAGAGCACUAAAUAAUUAACAAACAUAAAAUUGAAGAAGUAGAAAUCUGAUAACUCGUGUUGAAGAUCCACAAUUCAACUGGAUGGGCUAUGGUGGGGUGGAGUCAAGUGGGUAGGUAUGUAACUGUGCAUGAGGUUGGCAAGGCAUGAAAGGAAAGGCGAAAGUGAGAAAAAUUUAGGAGCAAUUAAAUAAAACAACUAUAAAAAAUUAGAAAUAUAUAAGCCAAAUCCAAAACUCAAAAACAAAUUCCUAUCUAAAACAAACAAAUCGCUGAUGGAAAACUCAACAGCUGGUUGAGCUGAGAUAGAAGAAAAACAACAACAAUAAUAAUACUUGCCAUUAGCAGAAAAGACGCAAACAUUACUAGUGCGUAGAAGGCAAAUCGAGAAGCUCUGCAAUUUGCAAACAAAACCGAUGACCAAAUGCAAAAUUUCAGUAUACGAGUACAACACCAACAACAACGCAUUAAUAAUAAUAAGGCAAUAAAGCGAGAGAGGCGGCGGAGAUGAAGUCGAGGCUGAAGAGUGAAAUGUAACGAAUGGAGUAAAAAUAAAUUGGCCAAGUGUGUGAAUGCAUAAACAAAAUUCGGACACACAAACAAUUACAGGGUGCCGCAGAAUGAGCCAACUUUAGCUAGGUAUUACAACAACAGAGUGGCCUGGAAGAGCUUUUAUAUGCCACUUAUUCCGAUUUCAUAUGCUUAACCACCUUCACACUUCCUAGUGAGAAAAAAAAAGCGGUCCUUGCAAGGUGCAUACAGGGUGGUUGGUUGAUUAAUUUUAAAAAUUCAAUUAAAAAUUUAUUUGACUUCUACAGCUAAAAUAACAUUCGUAGUGUGACAGAAAUUUAGUUUAUGUUUAUACAUUUAAAAAAUAAGCCACUAAAAAGUGGGGAAAUAUUAAAAUCGAGUAAUCUACCGAAACGGUGAUGUCAAUAGGCUGUCUGGGUGCUGCAAUUUCACUUCAAUCGACAAUUUUUUGUGAAGCGCCACAAAGAAUAGAUGUUAAACCAACUAACAAAAGGCGAUUCAUGAGUUCAAACCUGAAUUUGCAGUUGCCAUUGCUGAGCAAGUGUUACAACUGGCGCCAAUGCACUGAAAAUUUGGAUUGACAGAGUGAGCUACUAUAAAACCACCCCCGGAAGUUGUUUACAUGAGUUUUCGUGCCAUAUUUAAUGACAAGUUUUACA